rnacentral:rRNA from 1 species
UACGUAGGGGGCAAGCGUUGUCCGGAUUUAUUGGGCGUAAAGAGCGUGUAGGCGGCCAUACAGGUCAGCUGUGAAAACUCGAGGCUCAACCUCGAGACGUCGGUUGAAACCGUGUGGCUAGAGUCCGGAAGAGGAGAGUGGAAUUCCCGGUGUGGCGGUGAAAUGCGCAGAUAUCGGGAAGAACACCCGUGGCGAAGGCGGCUCUCUGGGACGGUACUGACGCUGAGACGCGAAAGCGUGGGGAGCGAACAGG